rnacentral:sRNA from 1 species
UGAUGAUCACCCCCACCGCCCCCGAGUUCCGAAUCCAAUGCUGGACGUCACCCUUGGCUGA